UCGAGCGAAUUACCAGCAAUGGUAGUUAGCGGCGAACGGGUGAGUAAUAAAUACUUAACAUACCUCUACGAAGGAAAUAGCUACUUGAAAAGGUAAUUAAUGUCCUAUAGGAGACUUUUUCACAUGAAAUUGUCUUUAAAGAUGCAAAUCGCGUAGAGAUUGGAGUAUGUUCUAUUAGCUAGUUGGCGGGAUAAUAGCCCACCAAGGCAAUGAUAGAUAGCUGGUCUAAGAGGAUGAACAGCCACAAUGGGAUUGAGAUACGGCCCAUAUUCCUACGGGAAGCAGCAGUAGGGAAUUUUCCACAAUGGGCGAAAGCCUGAUGGAGUGAUGCCAUGUGAAUGAUGAAGGUCUAUUUGAUUGUAAAGUUCUUUUAUCGGGGAAAAUGAUGAUUGUACCCGGUGAAUAAGUGACAGCAAACUAUGUGCCAGCAGCUGCGGUAAUACAUAGGUCGCGAGCGUUAUUCGGAUUUAUUGGGCGUAAAGCGAGCGCAGGCGGACAAAUAAGUUCUGUGUUAAAAGCAGCUGCUCAACAGUUGUGUGCGCCGAAUACUGUUUGUCUAGAAUACGGUAGGAAGUUUUGGAAUUGAAUGUGUAGCGGUGGAAUGUGUAGAUAUAUUCAAGAACACCAGUGGCGAAGGCGAAAACUUAGGCCGUUAUUGACGCUUAGGCUCGAAAGUGUGGGGAGCAAAUGGGAUUAGAUACCCCAGUAGUCCACACCGUAAACGAUGGGUAUUAGAUUUCGGGGCUUGGGCUUCGGAGUUGCAGCUUACGUGUUAAAUACCCCGCCUGAGUAGUACGUAUGCAAAUAUGAAACUCAAAGGAAUUGACGGGGACCUGAACAAGUGGUGGAACAUGUUGCUUAAUUCGACAAUACACGAAAAACCUUACCAAGAUUUGACAUCCCCCGCUAAGUCCUAGAAAUAGGAUGGAGGUUAUCGGGGUGACAGGUGGUGCAUGGCUGUCGUCAGCUCGUGUCAUGAGAUGUUUGGUUAAGUCCCAAAACGAGCGCAACCCUACCCUUUAGUUAGUUGUCUAAAGGUACUGAACAGUAAUGUAUAGGAAGGUCGGGAUCACGUCAAGUCAUCAUGCCCCUUAUAUCUUGGGCCGCAAACGUGUUACAAUGGCAUGUACAAAGUGUUGCAAACCAGCGAUGGUAAGCCAAUCACAAAAAGCAUGUCUCAGUCCGGAUAAAAGGCUGCAAUUCGCCUUUUUGAAGUUGGAAUCACUAGUAAUCCCGUGUCAGC
rnacentral:rRNA from 1 species